UACGUAGGGGUCGAGCGUUGUCCGGAGUUACUGGGCGUAAAGCGCGCGCAGGCGGCGCGAUAAGACCGGCGUGAAAGCCCCCGGCUUAACUGGGGAGGGUCAUUCGAUACUGACAGGCUUGAAUCCGGGAGAGGGAUGCGGAAUUCCAGGUGUAGCGGUGAAAUGCGUAGAUAUCUGGAGGAACACCGGUGGCGAAGGCGGCAUCCUGGACCGGCAUUGACGCUGAGGCGCGAAAGCUAGGGGAGCAAACGGG
rnacentral:rRNA from 1 species